CAAGUAUAUGUUGUGGAAUGAGGGACUGACAUUUUCCUUUUUAGCAUAGACACAUCUAGGCAAUAAGACAGGAUAUUAUCAUACUAUAUGGUUGUGCGCUCGCGGAUGGACGCUCGCAAUCUACCUCUUAUUAACAAUCAAUCUAAAUUAGUUUUUCCUAAAUAUAAUUAUUCAGAUACAGAAAAAGUAUUUCACAUUUUCUAAAUUCCAUGCGUAUACCCCUACCAUUCCCAUCAAACGGAAGUAGUAGGAGCACGUAAUUUCCUCCGCAUGCUCCAACCGCCGCGCGCUAAUGGCCAUCCGUAGGGAGGAGACUCGGCACCCUAAUUUGGGCAAGGCGGCAACCGACGGCCACCCGAGGCCCUCUCAUGGCCGCUCGCGAGCCCUACAAAACGCCGUGCCGCGCCUCUUCACCCUCUCGCAGGCCCUCGAGAGAGCGACCGAUCGACACUCCACACCCCCGCCCCACUCCCACCGGAAUAAACCGCGCCUCGCCGGCCGACCUCUCCUCCUCCACCUCCUCCUCGAGCGCGCGACCGCCCAGCUGCUUGCCGUUUGUUUCUUUUGCGCAGGCCCAGUGCACCGUACCGUACCCACCAGGAGAGAGAAGCAGAAGCGAUGGAGAUGAAGAAGAUCGCCUGCGCCGUGCUGGUCGCCGUGGCGGCCUGCGCCUCCCUGGUCGCGGCCUCCGAGGCGCCGGCCGAGUCGCCGGUCGUCGCGGCUGCUGGAGCGGCCGGCGCGGCGGCUGGCCCGGCCACCAGCGGCGCCUUCGCCGGCGCGCCCACCGCCGGAGCGCUCCUCCUCUCCCUCGUCGCCUACUACCUGCACUGAGACGGGCCGGAGCGCGCACGUUCCCGCGCGGCGCCACACACACGCGUCGCUUAAUUUAUUAAUCAAUUCACUGAUCAAUUGAUGACUACCUCAUGAUUUAUUACCGUGUAUUAUCGGUACCGUGUAACUGCGCUUGUAAUUCUUCUUUUCGACUCGUUUGGUAAAUUCAACCCAAUUCACAUCUGUAACCCGUCGCAGUGGCGAUGUAUUAUCAUUUCAUUUGAACCAACCGAUUGUUUCUUGUUGUGGGCUUGUGGCCCUGGGGGUUCUUUACUGCCUUCAUAUAUUCUUUUACAAUAUGUUAUUGAACGAACGUCAGAUUUCUAGCAAGUUUCAGUGAACAUCAUGCCUAUCGUCGAGUCACAUGCACGGAUCUUGACCCAAAAGGCCAUGCCACGUCAGCUUUGAAACUUUUCGUUAGAAACAAAAGCGUCCCCAGCGCCAUCUUAUCCAAAUCGCGAACGCCGUCUUAUCUAUCUACUACCACUAAAAAAGCAAGAGAAGGUAGAUCCAACUCUGAAUCUUGACCCUCUAAACGUUCAAUCAAAGGCAUGGAUACUUCGUUAACGAAACUAAUCAGUUUUCGUUAGCGUUGAUCCCCCGCUUCUUCACGUCCCAUGCGUCCUCGGUCAACUGGUCCCGCUCCAAACACAACCAACCCCUCCUCGAUCCAAUUGAUCAUCUUCACCGACCUGAUCCCAUCGACGGCUACCUCCGCCCCACAUGCCACGCCGGCGACCUCCGCCCCCAUGCCACGUCGGUGCCACACCGGUGCCACCCCAGCGACCUCCGCCCCCAUGCCACGUCGCUGCCUUUCUAAUUCCUCUUCUUAUUUCCUUUUAUUUACUAUACUAGGUGGCAACAAUAUUCCUUUUCUUGUUUUAGGUACAUAGCAAACUUUUAAAAUAAUUGUACCUGGCAGAUUUGUAGAUUUGUAUUUUUUUUUUACUUGUCACAUGGCAAAGUUAAACAUAUAUUUGUGAUGUUUCACAUGCCAAGUUUGUUUUGUACACACAGCAAAAUUUAGAUAUUUUUUCUCAUGAUCCCAUGACAAGUUCAUAAAAAAAAACUUUCGAACAUGGUAAUUUUAGGUCUUUAUUUUUGUAAUGCUAGCAUGUCAAGUUUUGGGGAUUUUUAUCAACUAUUGAUGUCAAUUUUGGAAAUACUUAUUUUUCUACUUUCUCACAUUGGCAAUUUUAUUAUUAAGAGCAUGACAAUUUUACCUUAAUACCAUGAGGAUUUUAUUUUUAAGGGCAUGUCAUUUUUAUUCAUUUAUUCAACCUGGCAAUUUCUUGUGUAUGAUUUCUAUGUUUUGAUAAUGAAAAUUAAGGCACGGAAAAUUCCUUGUAAAUUUUUUAAUUAAUACACAAGCUCGUCAUAUAUGAUUUCCCUUUGUCUGCAUUUUGGACCAUGUUUUUAUUUUUGGAAUUAAUGUGGCCUUUUUGGCAUGUUUUUUAGGGCUUUUGCCAUGUAUAAGUUUUGUCAAUCCUCGAAGAGGGAAGCUAAAUGGGCCUGGUUGGGUUGGUUCGCCCUUUUGAGUGAUUCUUCUAGCCACUUUUUCGUUCGCUCGAUGGAACCAUUCUCGAAAACGAAUUGUUCAUGCAUUAUUCCUUUCCUUAAUGUACGUCAUCUAACGGGAUCCUUCUUUUAACAUUGGCUUGCGGCAAUCGUGUGUCGUGACGGUUGUCAACGGCUUGUUUGAAUCAACAAAGAAUCUUUCAUAAGUUGUUUUGAAUUAUAUAUUUGGUUAGAUAAAAAAAAUGAGUUGGUACUUAGUGAGAUACUUGAGUAGUGUACAAUGCAUACCACCGAGAGAAAUUAUGAGGAAAAUAAUUAGAUAAAAAUGAUCGUGGGAGAAGGUGCAUUGAGCAUCAUGAUUCAUGCCCACACAGACCAGUCGCAUUCACGACCGGUCAAAAGCUUUCUGCUGCGAUUAGUUAGCUAUAGAUAGAUAGAGACAGAGACAGAAAUCCAAGGACCUAAUCUUAGCUAGUGUACUAUGCUGCAAUGCGAUGGAUGUUUUUUUUUUUUCAAUGUAAUCGCAAAGGAAGUUUCCAUAGAAAAAAAAAACUAAAAUUUUAGCCUGUAGACAUUUCAGUUUCAAAGCCGGAUUUCACGGAAGGCGGUUCGGUUUCAGGCCUGGGGCUCUUGCGACGUGGCCUUGUCAUUCUUUUUGAAAUAAAUUUUUUUUAAAAGAAAAUCAAGAAGAAGGAGAAGAAGAAGAAGUUCGUGAUUAGCAGUUCCCUUUUUCCUCCCUCCGUCCUGAUGAUUCCUCCACUCCGCUAGCCGUAUCUCGCUCCGCCCUCCUCACCCACUCCCCUUUCUCCGCGCUCCCGCUCCUCGGCGGGCCCUCCUCAAACCCUAGGCGCGAGCUGCCGCGGCGGAGAUGGAGCAGCACGUGCUGGUGGCGCUCGCCCUCUCCUUCGUCGGCGGCCUCAGCACCUCUCUCGGUACGCGCCAUCGAUUCUCUCCCCCGGGACUCGGUUGCUUGCUGCUGGCCUGCCAGCCUCCCCGUUUGCGGCGUCUGGCCUAGGGGAAUUCUUCUGCUGCCUCAAACUUCUACUCCUCGGCUCCCCUGGCUUGAUUUCCACCAGCGUUCUUGUUGUGUUUUCCGUUGCUACUGUUCAGUUGCGCAGAACAGAACCAGUGCCUCGCCAUUUGCCAAGUGACGGAGUUUUGUGCCGUCUAGGAACCUAAGCAGGAGAAUCGGCAAAAAUCGCGACCCAACAUUCAUCAGAAUGCAUAGGCUAAAUGGCUAAUUCACAAGGUUGACCAGGGUGGCAAAAGCUAGUUCCACAGGUUUAGGCACAGGGUUACUCAGGCCUUGUACGAUGCAAGGCGCCUAGGGGAGGUGCUUACAGAAAUAAACCAAUGUUUUCUUUAAGCAUCGGUGCUUAUUUGUAAAGUAUAGACGCUUAAUUAGGUGUCUCUCCUGUAGAAAUAGGCACAGGUGCUUCAGAAAACCUGAUUUAUUUUUCUAGCACCUCCCUAAGCACCUAGCAUUGUACAAGUCCUUACGGGCCUCCUAUUGUUUUCUACGACAAUGCCAAAGUAGCAACGACAAAUCCUGCUUGUUCCCCUAAUGCACUUUCCGAUGCUUCUGCUUGAUGUCACGCAAGGUUUCUUUGUGUCCGCUUAAGCUAAGCUCGAGAUUUGUGUCUUCAGGUGCGCUGCUGGUGAUCGUGAACCCUUCCCCUGACCUCAAGAGGCUCGGCCUCCUCCAGGUCAUCAUCAACUGCCUUCUUUUAAGUCAUUGAUUAUCCGUUGUUUAGUAAGUAGUAAUGAUUGUCUGACUAUUCGUGCUCCAUGUAUUGCUCAUACUUCAUGCAGGGUUUUGCUGCUGGACUUAUGUUGAGCAUCUCGUUUCUAGACCUGGCACACAACGCACUCAAUUCCAUUGGCUUCUUGAAGGCCAACCUCUGGGUGGGUUGGACUUGGAUCUUUCUUGCAGUUUUAGAAUCGGUGUCAUGAAAUUUCAGUUUAUCUUAUAUAACAAACUGCGAUGUUUUGCAGUUUUUUGCGGGAGUUCUUUUCUUUGGUUUCGUUGUCAAGUUCAUUCCAGAGCCAACCUUUGUGCCAACAACUGAUGCGAGCAAGAAAAAGGUAGGAAUGAACUAUCCUUGGGGAUGUUUCCAGCAUCAUUCUUAUCAAUCUGUUUUCUUACUAAGAUAAGAGGGCUGAAUCGAAGUUGGUUUUCUUGUGGAAAGCAGACUGAUGAUGAUGGGGCAGGUAAAGAUAUGAUGAAAAAACAUCGCCGGCAAGUCUUAUUCAGUGGCAUCAUUACUGCCGUUGGUAAGUUACUAAGAUUGUUACCUAAUCACUAAUAUCCCCUGUUUUAUCAGACCUACAUUCUAUCAAACCUACUUUCGGGAGACGUGAUUACUAGAACUGUUCCGUGCCACAGAAGGUUCCUUGAGAAAAUCUAGUGGAAAUUUGCUUCUUUUAAGGUGCAAUCAUUUGACUUUGUACUUAUUCUGAGCUGCAGGAAUUAGCUUGCACAAUUUCCCUGAGGGAAUGGCGGUAUUUCUUGGAUCCGUGAAGGUAAUGUCAUUGUGUAUUCAUCUCAGUGUAGUGGCAUCAUUGAUUUGCUAAGAGGACGUUCUGCACCUUGCAUUUUGUCCCAAUAAAAUAACUGCUGGGGCAUAGCAUGGUUGUUUUGGUUUUCAAAGAGGACGUUCUGCACCUUGCAUUUUGUUCCAGUAAAAUAACUACUGGGGCAUAGCAUGGUUGUUUUGGUUUUCAAAGAGGUCAUGUACCUUCUUAAUUAUUUAUAGCUCGCACUAAUUAUACUCGGUUAUAAUGAAAAUGCAGGGUCUUCGAGUCGGAGUUAACUUGGCCAUUGCUAUUGCUUUACAUAACAUACCCGAGGUACAUAAAUUAACCUACCAACCUUUCUGGUUAAGUAGCCUAAGAAUUCUUAUCUGGAGUUAUUUGUUGCAUCAUUAGCACUUAGAAUAGCCCUUGGGGUGCUCUUUUUAAGAAGAUUCAAUUGCCAUAAAAAGUUUGUUUGUUAUACUGCACCAUGGAAUCAAUAUAUGAAAGCCCAAUAUCAUGGCAAACUAAUUCAUGACAAGACAAGAGGCCAUGAUGAAUCUUAACUCAUUUGCAGUGCUUGUUCUGCCAUGAAGUUUCGAGUAUUUCGAUAUUUGCUAGGUCUCCAUGCUGACCAACUUAUAUAUUUUCCCUUUUGCACCGUGUGUUUGAUGCUUAGUAGGGAUGAAAAUGGAAUGGAAACUUCCCAUUUUUUCAGAUGGAGAGGAAAUAUGAAAACACAAACAGAAAUUUGCAAAAUGGAAGUGGAAGUGGAAUUUUUUAAGCGGAAACGAAAACAAAAACAAAACUGAGUUUUUCGGUGGAACGGACAUGGAAAUGGAGCUUUCCGUUUCCGUGAAUAUGGAAUUUCCGUUUUUACUAUAGACGCAUGGCUGCUUUGUAGUCCAACCACGAAACAACAUACAAUGACACAAUUAGUAGAAUGGAUCAUUUGAGACCCAACUUCUACUAACACAUAAGUACUCAGCNNNNNNNNNNNNNNNNNNNNNNNNNNNNNNNNNNNNNNNNNNNNNNNNNNNNNNNNNNNNNNNNNNNNNNNNNNNNNNNNNNNNNNNNNNNNNNNNNNNNNNNNNNNNNNNNNNNNNNNNNNNNNNNNNNNNNNNNNNNNNNNNNNNNNNNNNNNNNNNNNNNNNNNNNNNNNNNNNNNNNNNNNNNNNNNNNNNNNNNNNNNNNNNNNNNNNNNNNNNNNNNNNNNNNNNNNNNNNNNNNNNNNNNNNNNNNNNNNNNNNNNNNNNNNNNNNNNNNNNNNNNNNNNNNNNNNNNNNNNNNNNNNNNNNNNNNNNNNNNNCGAGUACAACUACAAUACUAAGCUAAGUUGCUAACAUAGUAAUAUUGUUUUGUAGCCAUGUUAACAAUUCAAUAAAUUUGUUGAUUUUUGUGUGUAUUCUCUACGAUUCAAGGGGUUUUGAAGUUCCGAUCAAUGCCCACUUCUGUUUUCAUUUCCGCUUUGUAUUCGCUCCGUGUCCAUUUCCAGUAGUGUCUGUUUCCGUAUUCGUUUCUGCUUUUGCAAAGAUAUAUGAAAACAAAUGUGAUAGCACUCGGUUCCGUCCGUUUCCGCUCCGUUUUCAUCCCUAAUGCUUAGUGACCAUACUAGAAUUAGUUGGCAUCAAACAUAUCAUUACGAGCAAGGGAGAAUUUGCAAAUUAUUAGCAGGAUCUAUUAGUUUGGAACAAAUUACUACUCGGUAAAUUAAUUAAUUCCAAUUUACGGAGAGGAGUUAAAAAGAAGCUACAGUUCUACAAAAUCAUAUAUCCAAGACUACUGACAGUCUGACAUGUUGCUAAUUUCCUUUUUGAUAUACUAUCCUAACUAGUUGACAUUUUUUACCUUCUCAGGGGGUUGCUGUAGCUCUGCCACUCUAUUUUGCUACCAAAAGGUACCUGUUUUCCCCGUGUAGAGAUGAAUAAUUAGUAAAAUUUGUAGUUCACACCAGCUUUCACAAAUGAGUCUUGAGUCCACUAGUGCAAAUGCUACGAAUUCGUGGUUUUUUUGUAGCCACAUGUUAUAAGUUGGUUACACAAAUAUGCCAUGCCUGUUAUAUGCAUUAUUAUUAAAUGGCACACAAUCUUAGAAUUUCUCAGAUAUGGUGAGCCGCUCUUAUCUUGGCUAUGUGAGCUUUACCCAUUUCUCCAGUCUUAAAGGGCGAUUGGAUUCCAAAGUACCUACAAAGCAUGACCAUGUUUGAAAUGAUUGUACUUUAGGAAGAAGGGAAAUUUGAAUUUCCCUUCAUUCUCAAUAUUUCCUUUUAUUCCAAUUGUCAUUAUCAGGCUUAUUUUUUUGCAGCUGAUAAUAUUUCUCUGUGUUUCCUUCUUUCUUGCAUAUCAAAGCAAAUGGCAAGCAUUUAAAUAUGCAACACUCUCUGGUUUGGCUGAGCCACUAGGAGUAUUUUUUGUAGGUAUGCUGUUUUUGUGAGCCUUUUCUGUGAGUUUAUUCUUUUAAUGACCUGUCGACUACUGAUGCAAAUGUGAUUACUGCAGCUGUCUUGUUUCCGAGCAACUUAAAUCCUGAAAUUCUUGAAGGCCUACUUGCAUCAGGUUAGUCUGUUAGUAGAGCUAAAACGUGAUAUUUCGUGCUUAGUACUUUGUUGACCUCCCAUUUGUCUCUAUGCAGUUGGUGGUGUUAUGGCUUUCCUCACUUUGCAUGAAUUGUUACCUCUAGCAUUUGACUAUGCUGGUCAGAAGCAAGCUGUGAAAGCAGUCUUUGUUGGCAUGGCCGUCAUGUCUGCGAGGUUUGUUGAUGUUUCUGAACAAACGACUCACCUGUAUAGUUCUGAAGCACUUUUACUCUGUGAUUGAGGAAAAAACAACAAAUAUCCAUGUUACACGGUGUAAUUAAGUUCUUGUGUUCUACUCCAUCCGUCCCUAAAUAUAAGCCUUUUUAGAGAUUCCAAUACAGACUACAUACGGAGCAAAAUGAGUGAAUCUACACUCUAAAAUACAUCUAUAUACAUCCAUAUGUAGUCCAUAUUGAAAUCUCUAACUAGGCUUAUAUUUAGAAACGGAGGAAGUAGUUGAUAGUAUCGUAGCAGAUUGACAUCAUAUAUUCAUAUGUUGUUGGCAGUGAGUGCAUUGUAGAGAAAAUGAGUAAAUGACUGUAUUCUAUCAACUAUAGGGUGAAUUUAUGGCAUCAAGAUUGCAUUAGUAUAAUAAUAUGUUUGCAGCAGUGUUUGACAAUAGGCUUAAACAUACCGGUCCUUCUACCCAAACAUAGCAUAAUAAUAUGUUUGCAGCAGUUUUUGACAAUAGGCUUAGACAUACCGGUCCUUCCACCCAAACAUAUAGCAUGAUAAUAUGUUUGCAGCAGUGUUUGGCAAUAGGCUUAAACAUACUGAUCCCUGCACCCAAACAAAAAUUUCGACCUAUGCAUUAGUGUGAUCAUCAGUAGUCAUAAUGCAUCCGUGUUAUACCCAUAUUUGCACAAUUCUAACUUGUCAUACACAUUCACAAUACAAAUGCAUAACCCACAUUCCUUCACACUUCACAGUACAUGCAAAUUUUGACACAAAAUUGCUGCACGGCCCCAUGUCUUGAAAGCAGAGAGCAUUUUUAUAUUUUUGGAAAAUAAGCAGCACACAACACAAUAUUCUUUUCUUUUUACAUACCUAAUUUGCGAUUUCACAUUGGCAGCUUGUAUUUCCUGGAGAUCAGCCUGCCCAAAGAGAUCAGUUUGUAACACAUGACCGCACCACCGCAACUAUACCAGCUGUUCAUAGUGUCCUCUGAAGCCUGAGAGCUUCGCCAUAUAUCAAACGUUUCUUGCGCUUUGCCGCUUUGCAAAGCAAGGGGCGUGGGGUUUGGAAGGUUCGUCGCUCAGAAGCAAGGAUUAUGGCCAGACAGUUGCACUGGCCAUGUGUAGCAUACACUAUUACUCCUGGUCAUUGUAUCUGACCGUUAUUUACUAGGAAAAAACAGCAGUGUCACGACCCAUAUGCGGUGGCUGGACACCCCUCAAUUUGUUUGUUUCAGAAAACCAUAUGGGUUGACGGGUAUCUGAAUACAACCACCGGGUUUGUUGUCCAGUAACAGGAUGCAACUAGAACUGAUUUGUGUAGUUUUUGCCGAUUUGACACUAGUUAAAAACCUGCCUGGUGGUCUUGUUCCUGGAUUCUGUUCCAAGUUUAUACAUCUUCAGUUUCUUUUCUCUUGCCAUAGAGUAUUUAAAAACAAUCUUGCUUUGGAGUAUUGUUUCCAGCUGGCUCGUUGAAAUGAUAUUGUGUUUGCCAUGGGUGGUGCAACAGCCUGUUGGGACUUUGGGAGAGAUUGGUGCUAGGAUUUCUAGACUGAGAUUACUUAGAUUAUGAUUUCAUCCAAAGGUAGGUGCAAAUAAAUUAUGAACUGUACUUGAACAAUCAAUCGCCUUAACCAAAUUCUCUCUCUUGCCUUGAUUGUUUUACCGUCGCUUACAAUAUCCCUGAGCAAAUAACAAGAUGUUGUGCGCCAGAAUCGUAGUUAGUUACAACUCAUAACACGACAUUGAUUGUAUCAGAUUACCAUUGCAAUCUUGCGGACGAGGAAAGUCCUUCUAGCUGAACAUGGUGACAUUCCCAGCAACCUCACAAGGAUGGUUACCUGUGCUGCAUCACAUGCAAACUUGGCUCGCUGGAUUGAAGCAAAGUGUGUGCACAUUGCUGACACAGGUCCUCAAUUUUGAUUUCUUAGCUCAAAUUUCAUAUCAACAAAACUCGCCGCGGUUUGUCAGCUGGAGACCUUUCUCUGGUUGCGGCUUCCAGCAAAGUUUACAAGAUUGAAGGAAAGAACUGUAUAUGUUCAGGCAUUCUGGGCUACACAAAAUUUGCUUUGCGGAAACUUGUAUCAACGUCGCAAAGACGAUGGCACUAUCCCUACCAAAUCAGAUCAAGGUUAACAGACACCUCAAUGAUUUAAUUUCUGUGCCCAACCCCAAAGUGAAAUCGUCUUGCUUGUUUGUCAUUGAAAGCAUAUUCAAGUCUCAAAGGUCCCAGCGGGGAGUCCACACGGAUACCAACACCAUACCCGUAACCACUUCCUGGCUUCCCGCGGGCUCCUGCUGGGUCACCUAAAAAACGAAACGACGGGAGAUUGCGCAAGUGAGAAGAGCUUUCGGUGAAAAGAAGAGCUAAUACAUGAAAACUGAUCUACAAAUUCUGCAGGUGGAACCCUGUCAGGCCUGUUCCAGCAGCAGCAAAAUCUUCUAACUAGAAUAAGGGCGAAAAGCAAUAGUUUUCUUCACUCUGGAUCUUAUUGGAGAUUUUUCUUCAAACUCAAAACGAGGAUUAGAGAAUUUGUUACAUGUACAGAACUAGCCUGCUUUAGAGACCAGAGAUUUGGACCAAAAUUAUACAAUCACAGCAAAAUGUGAGUACAACAUGACUUACCAGGAACCGUUGGACCAGAGCCAAGAUCACUACCAUAGUCACCAAAGACCACACCUUCCAACGGACCAAACUACACAGAAAAUGACAACUGUGAGUAAUCAAAGCAGGCUGAUUUUUUUUAAUGCAAAUCAUACUGCAAGCAUGACAUGCAGAGUAGCACACGAACUAGUCAAAUGCAUUUGAUGUCAUUGCAGGUAGCAAUCAUGAAUAGUCAACGAUUGAAGUACUAAUUUUCCAGCCAUGAAAUCUUGUAUGACAAGUCACAAGUAAUUGGAUCAUUGACACAAGAACAGAAACAAUUCUAAAAUUAAUCACUGAGACGAAUAUAAGAAGAUGCGAAAAGCCGAAAACAGUGAUGGUGUUUGCAUAAAUCAGGUGGCGGAGAACUGAAGUAACAGGUGCCUUACUGGGGCUUAUGGAAUAAUUUUUUCCUAUAGCUAAUUCUCGAAGUACCCUCCUAUGCGUGGCUAAGGGCCAUGCACACACAGGUACCAGGUCGCACGCAUGCAUGAUGCAGUUAAUAUGUCCAGCAUGGAUUAGAGAUGUUACACUGAACUGCAUGUGGAGUUGUUUUGUUGUCUCAAACAAAAUAAUUGAUUUACCGUUAUAUUCUUAAAAAGAGCAAAUAAGACUUCAUCUUAAAAUUGCAAACUAAUUACUACACUUUUAGAUUCUUCUUGAUAUGUGUGUGUUGAUGUUGCCAACUAGGUUUUUCUGAGAAUUGCAUAUGGUUGUGUUCCUUUUAUCAAGAAGUGUUUCAUGUGAUUGUUCAGUUUAGACAAAGAACUUAUAUCGCCAAAAAGAGAGGCAAAGCUUACCAAGCGGCAAGAGACUUCACCACUACCAACUGCAUAUGAGCGGCCAGAACCAACAGCACCUUCUUCAUAUCCUCUUACACUGUUUGUCCCACCAAUUGCAAAUGCUUCAUGAGGCGAAAAGUUUCCCUCCACAUGACCUCCAGAAGCACUAGAUCAUAGAGCAAAAUGAUAUAUCAGGUAACAUAACAACAAAAAAUGAGUCCACUGAGCAAACCUCCAGGUUAAACUGAUGUUUUCACUCAUGGUCCAUCAAUGGUACGACAUGCACUAAAACAUACCUUAGAAGAAGUCGGGCAGGACCAAUUUCAUAGCUCUGCCUCAAACGGGCUGUCACUCUGUUGAAACUAAGCCACUCUGGAAGAAUAGGUAGACCUUGCUCGACGUUGAAAACAAACUGGAAGCAGUAACAGUAGGAUAUAAGAAACUGUCACAGCAAGAUUAGAAAAUAAUAAAAUGCAGAGGAUAAAUACUAACCAUCGUAGAGCUAUGAUCUCCGGAGUCUGUGUAGACACUUUCAAGCUUAGCAAGUAAUGUAUCAUCAUAAGGAUUUCCGCUGCAUUUUCAUGACAGGGCCAUCACAUAUCAAAUAGUAACUUAAUCUGACAACUGUAUUCACGGUGUACACUGUUAUGCAUUCCCUCUGUAAAGAAUUAUAAGAGCGUUUAGAUCACUACUUUAGUGAACUAAACACUCUUGUAUUUCUUUACGGCGGGAGCAUAUACUUGUGGUACAAACUAAAGUUGAAUGAGAAAUCAAGAUUUGAGACCUUGCAGUUAAUUGGCUGUUAUAGAAAUCUCUGAUCAUAGGGUUGCCUUUGUCAUCACGGGCACCAGCAUGCUGCAUAGAAAGUGUCAACAGAACGCAAUUAGGCUAUUGUUUAUGGAAAGGUAAGCAAAGGAAACAGUAACAAAUAUUUAUACGGUUCAUUCAACAAAGUUUGUACCAAAUCACACGAGUACACGACUGUCUACUUUAGACUUCUGCUAGCGGGCCUACAUGCAGGGGGGAAGGCGAACGAUUACUACAACUAGUAUUCACGUGUUUACCUGAAAUAUCAAUCCAAGAGUACCACUCCAUUUAGGCCUGAAAGGUCGACUAUAUUCAAUGCCAGCAGUUAUCCGUCCAAUUGUAAUAGGACUAUGGUCAGGAUGCUCCCCACCAUGGAUAAGUGUUCCAGGGGUCCUAGAGUUCUGACAAGAAAGACUAUCGUAAGCAAAUGCACAUGACUCACAGCUGAUGGAAUCAUGGAACUGUGAUGAUAUCAUACUAAAGGUAAAUACCUGAACCAUGACAGUUCUGGAGGUCCUCUUAUUGUCACCAUCAAUCCAAGGGUCAGUGUAGUUUAAACGAAAUAUAGAAUCUAUUUGUCCCCUCUCUAGUGAGAGAUUCAACUUCUUGUUCCUCCCAAAAACAUUCCGCUGAGAAUAUGCAAAGCUGUUUAAAAACUCCAGUGUGAGGAGGGAAAAUAGAUGUAGAACUUCCUGUUUAUCCAGGCAGGUAUAAGAUAAAUAACAAAAUUAAAACCAAAAUCUAAAAAUUGUCAAUUGCUAAAGGCCUGCUUGGGCUUUGGAGGGUCAUCUUAACUUUGGCACUACAAUGUGAUGGUGGGGCUUGAGAAUAGCUGAUACUCCCUCUGUACCGAAUUAUAUGACGUUUAAGCAUUCGUAGUACAAUUUUCGUCACAUAACAAAAUUUCUUGACUUUCCCAAAUUGCCCUCCCGCCACUCGCUCAAUCGCACUUGCACCACUCGCUCUCAAGUGUCAUCUCCCUCUCCCCAUUGCCCUCUCUCUUCUCCCAGAUCCGGCGGCCUCCCCCUCUCCUCGUGGCCAGCGGACGCUCCCUCUCGACGUUGCUGGCCUCUUCCAGCACCCCCUUUCUCCCCAGCACCUUGCUUUCACUCAGUUUGUAUGCGUCGAUCAAAAGAUUGAUUUUUUACACCGGUGAUGAGCUUUUAUGCAACAGAGGCAUGCACGGCCGCUGGAUUUAAGUGUGCCGGUGAUGUACGUGAACGACGGAAGCGUGCAGCGGUGGAGCAGCGGAGUACCGAAGCAUACGAGCGGCGGAGCAGCAGAGUACCGGAGCGCCAGAGCAGCGAAGCACCAGAGCAGUGGAGCGCUGGAGCAGCGGAGCACCAGAGCAAGUCCUUGGGCUCCUCCGUGCAGAGCAUCCCAGAGCUGCUCUGGGAGAGGGGCGCGCACAGCCUGCUGGAGUUCAGCCUCUGCGAGCUCCAUGGCGCCACGGCCGACUUCAGUCCGUUCCUAAUGGUCCGCGUGGGCGGCUUCAGCAUGGACCAAGAGAGGCGCUGGGACCAAACGAUCUUGAAGGGACCACGCUAGGCCUGGAACUGGCGAGCUGGGAGGCAAUCUAGAGCGAGCUGGGCGGUGAUCUGGAGGAAGAUGAAGAUUUGGUGGUAGCAGUUCUCGGAGGGGUAGCAAUGUAUUUUCCUUAGUUUUCACCUGGUCGGGACGUUUUCCUAAACGUCUUAUAAUUUGAUACGGAGGGAGUACAUUUUAAGUAAGCCCAUAGUUGAUUAUCCACAGGUUAUAUGUCAGGUUGCUUCUUGGAACUGUUAUUUUAUAAAGGCUCAAAGCCCAGUUGGAGCUUAAGAAACAUAAUCUCAAAAAUAUUAUCAUGGCAAUAUUAUUACAUAAUUAAACAAACUAGAUUCCAUUCCAGAGGAAAUAAGAUAUUAUUUACUGAAGAAUCUACGGACCUGCCAAUUAAUCCAGAAAGAGGCCCAUUUGUUAUCCUGCACAAAAAUAGCAUGAUAUAUGUUAAGCCUAGAAUUUCAAAUAUAAUUUGCAUAUAGGCUACAUAUGGUAUUCGAAAUCCAGUACAUAACAAAGCACCUUACUGAUUAAGAAACAUACUUUAUGAAAGCAUACAAUUCACUCAAUUGGGUUCACUAAAUAAACAGUACUAACCCACUCGAAAUGCCACCACCAGCAGAGAAACCACCAGAUUUGCGUUCGACAAGAUUCAUGACAAGAUCCACUUUAUUAGAAUCUGCACAAGACCAUAGAUAAGAGCACGAGUACUUGAGGAAAUGAAGACCGGCUUAAAGAAAAUGGGAACUAUAAAUUAGCUUCACCUCCCACAGGCUGCGGAAUUAUUGUGACAUCCUCCAUAAUUCCCAUAGUGAGUAUCGUUUCAACAUCUCUUUUCACUUGUGCUCUAUUGUAUGCCUAUUUCCAUCAUUAAUAACACUAAUAAGAUGUCCAUUACAGCAUCAAGGCUACAGGACAGCAGUUUCAAAUUGUCAUCAAACCAAGCCUACAUACACAAAAGCUAUACAAGCAUGAUCUGAUUCCGACCACACUUGGUAUUAUUGUUGACAUCCUUCUAACAAUAGUACUUGCUUUGGUCAUGGUAUUUACAUAGCAACUUCUAGACCACACUAACAAUACUUAAACGCACAUCACCGUAUCGCCAAGCGUGACAUGAGAACUGUUCAUAAAAUCAUUCUAUGUAAAAUUGUGCACCGAGGACAUAAUUGAAAUAAACAUUCAUGAAUAUCAUCAAUAAUGUGUCCAAAGUAGAUUAAAACACAAAUACAGCAGGUAACUUCUAAAAGACUCUGACCUGACCCUUCUUGGUGGUCAGCUGCUGGAGUAUGGUUUCUGGUUUCGUUUUUCCAGUAGUUGGUUCACCACUAGUGAUAGAGAGAUGGAAGGAGAAAGAAGAUACAAAUGAUCAGAAUAAUACGUGGCCAUAAAACAGGAAUCAGCAAAGAGAAUCUCACUAAGUCAAGCUAUGAUUCUCACGUUCUUCUAUCCAGAAAGCGAAUAUUGAUAUUAUUAACCUCGGCUUCAGAAACUUGCAGCCUUAGAAUUCCUCCGGAAAGGAUCUCAGCAUAUGAAACCUGAAAUCAUAUCAAGCGCCUUCAUUGAUUUACCAUUAUAGCAAUAAAAUAUUCUUUUACUGGCUAAAACUGUAAACGAUGUUGCUUUUUACCAAAAAAAUGGUGGGCACCUAAAUGUUUGCUAGACACAACUAACAGGUUAGCAACUCCCACACAUUCACAUUUUUCUCACGUCAUAUUUCUAGUUUGUUACAAUUAAGAACAUGUAGAAUCAAAAGCAUAGUGUGACAAUGAAGUUCUAUAUACAAAGCAGGAAUCAGGAAGUAACAAACAACACGGUAAAACAGAACUAUGUGGUAUGCCCUCCCAAUUUGGAACUGGUGACAGGUGAGAUGUAAAUGAUGGCAAGCACAUUAAAAAAAAACAGAAAUUGACAACUCAGGUCUUGUGGUACUAGGCCUCUAGAAGGCCAAGAAGAUAUAACGCUUCACUUGUUCCUUAAGAGAAGUGCAGCAGAUGCCUAUUUUCAGCAAUGUUCUCAAAAAAUUGCAACACAUCACCAAAUAGAAGAAAACGAAAAAUUAUGCACAAUGGUAGAACAUGGAUUAUAUUAAUUAUUUUCCCCACCUACCAUGCCAGUAAGACCGCGCUCCUGAUACCAUCCGUUAAUGGACUUAAUCACUUGAUCUAAAUGUCUUAUGUUGAUUAUUUUCCCUGCAUAAUGUAACACAAAACACAGGUCUCAAGAACAAAUCUUAUAGAAGCUAAUAAAAUAGACUAAGGUUAAAAAAUUGUUUCUCUUUCUUUUAGAGAAAUGAAAUUUGAAGAAACAUGCAGGAGAAACUAAAAGUUCUGUUAAAGAAGAAAUAUACAACCAAAAUUCAAGUGGAGAGGACUUGAACCAAAGUUGUAGAAUUGUACACCCACUCCCCCGCCAAACUGAGGUAUGCUCAGUUCCCAAAGUUUUACAUAAUUUUCUCUAUAACAAAAGGAUACCGAGAGAUUAUAUCACUGUAGAUGGACCUAUUUUACCAUAGAUUUCUAUGCAGUGUAGAAAAACAUGUCUUAAGAUCAGAACUAAACCAAGAACAAGAACCAUGUGAGUCCACAUAAAAGGCGUGUUUCAUUUGCUGCACAGUUCAAUCUAGUGAUAUCAUAGUAGGACCAAAAAACUCAAAAAAGGUGAUAAAAUAUGCACGGUGGUGGUGAUUCUCUUAUGCAUUCUAGAUAUCUCUUUGCCAGACGAAUUUAGGGUUCAUGUAGUGUUGGUUCAUGUAGCAUUGUGCAAAGUAAAUCAAUACACCAAGUUACACAAAUCAAUAACCACAUUUAACGUAACAGACUCUUAAACAUGAGAACAAGUACCGUGGCGGUCGCGAAAUGAGUCAUCUAGGAACUUAGAAGGCAGCAUGUUGGCACCCUCACAUACCAGCCCAUGGAAGUCCUGGUUCGGCUCCACCUAAACCACAGAACAUCCCAAAUUCCGCAGCCUUCAGCUCCAAAGAUAAGCCAUGGAAAAGGGAUAGGGGAACAUGCAAAAUCCUGACCUCAAAGACAAGGCGAAUGCCGUCGCGGGUGUCGACGGCAACUGGCAUGCAGGAGCGGAAGAGCCCGCUCUCCACCACGCGGUGCACAUCCUCCUGCACCUCCCUCACCGUGAGCGCCGCAUUGGGGCGGCACGCGCGCAGGGCCGCGGCGGCCGCCUCCUCUAACUCGGGCCUCUCCAGCGGCUCCCCGUCCUUCCCGCGCACCGCCACCUCGCUGAUGAGCACCCGCUCCUCGCCCCCGCCCCCGCCGCCGUCCUUCCCGUGCCUCCGCGGCAAGGGCGCGGCCGGCGUCUCGGCACGCGCGGCCGGGACGCGGGGGAACGACGCGGCGACACGGCGGGCGGCGGCGUCGAUGGCCCGGCCGAUGUGCGCGAACGGGGGGAGCGCGGCGGAGAGCAGGGCGUGCGUCGGGGCAGGGGCCGGGCAGGCGCGCGGGAGCUUGACGCCGGAGGAGACGAAGCGGACGCCGUCUCGACGGGGCCCCAUGGCCGCCGCGCCCGACGUGUGGACUGGGGUGGCGUAACUCGGCGGUGGGAUAGGGCUUAGGGUUUUGGCAACGAGGCGGGGGAGGCCGCGAGGGUUUCGUCCGCCAUGGCUGAUCGGGGGACCGAGGCUCCGGAGUGGCGGCGACUGGUGAGCUGUGCUCCGGAGUGGACGGCUUGCUGAUGGUGCUCCUGUGGAGCAACGACAGCCGUUCGAUCUCGUCGUGUGUCCGUAUGGUGAACCCUGUGCGUCCAUCUGAUCCGUUGGCUUAACUAGUAUAUGUAUGCCCUUGCGUUGCUAGAGGCCAAAAAAAUACUCCAUCCAUCCUAAAAUAAGUGACUCAAAAAAAAA
rnacentral:lncRNA from 1 species